GCAUCGGUGGUGUAAUGGAUCAGCAUGGCAGACCGGAUAUCUGUAGAUGCGGGUUCGAGUCCAGCCCGAGGUU
rfam:Dictyocaulus viviparus strain HannoverDv2000 D_viviparus-1.0_Cont37.39, whole genome shotgun sequence.